AACGACUCUCGGCAACGGAUAUCUCGGCU
rnacentral:ncRNA from 5 species